CGCCACACCCCGGAGGUACAAAGAGCCGGGGUGCUGAGCCCGGAGCCGCCAUCUGGUGGUGGAGGACGAGGAGGAGGAGAGGAGGACGAGGGUGCGCUGGGGACCGGUGUGUGGUGAGUGAGCGAGUGGCGGCGUUGGUCGUGUCCGGGGGUCUCCUCGUAGUGCUGCAGGCAGGCAGCGUCCCGUCCCGUCCCGUCCCGUCCUGUCCUGUCCUGUCCCAAGGGAGGGGUGCGAGCAGGCUGGUGACCCCGAGAUGUCGUGGCUAACGAGGGGGAUGAAGUCGAAGGAGAAGCCAGAGUCGGAGAGCUCUCUGACUCAGGAGGAGAGGGGGCUGUUGGUGCAGGCUAUGCUGGAGCACGGGGGCGAUCCUUGGGAUUACAAAGUGAUCAGCCAGGAUCCCACUCUCAAAGCCGCUGAAAGGCACUGGGUAAACUACAUUGCCACGUAUCAUCCUAAAGGAGAAAAGAAGUGCUCGGCCCUGCAGUGGCUGCUGUUCGAUCUGGCCAGUAUCUUGCAAGCCACAGUAGAAGAGAAGGAGCAAUGCAUAAAGACCUUGCAGAACAACUUGCAGGUGGCUCACAAUGAAAUCCUCGCGCUGCGCUGUGAUAACGCUCUGCUAAGCGAGCAGGCCGAGCAAGUAAGAAAAAUGAAAGAAGAACUCAGGGCAGAGAAUGCUGAUAAUGCCCGGUUAAGAAAGAAAGUGCAGUGCCUGGGUAAGCUGUUAUCCCUCGGGAAAGGCUUGGACCAAAGGAAGGUAGUGGCUCUGAGCGAGAUAAAUUGUAACCCAGAGACGUGGGAUGGGGAUACCUGGAAUGUGGAGAACCAGGAAAACUCUGCGGUGCAAGGGGUGGGGACCAGAAAAAUAAAGCCGGCGGAGGGAGAUGGAAGCCAGGGAGUGGGGGAUAUGUCCAGAAAAGAGAAAGUUUGGAAGAAACAGAGGGAGGGAUGGCCUGUGUGGGUAAACCGAAUUUGGACUUUAGAACAGCACACACCUUUCACAUACGAGGCAGCGAAGUGGGUGGUAACAGUCAUAGGGCUGCCUUGGCCCAAGGUGGGGGCGAUUAUCAGAGCCUUGCCCCCUGAAGAGGCACUGGGGGGAGAGAUCUUAAGGCUGGUGAUUAGAAAUCUGGGAGAAUAUGAGCCUCUCAAGGAUAACAUGGAAGGGGCGCCCUGGAGAGACGUCCAGGAGGCGUCAGCCUAUGUGUGUGGGAAUGUGGUGCUCCGGGUGCUAAAGCAGCAGGAGAAGCCAGUGACCACUGACUUCGACAUCCUCGGGGUGAAUGUGGAGCAGGCAGACAUAGGGGUUCUGGCAUGUCGUGCUCCAGAGGUGCAUAAGAGUUUUUUCAUCAGCCUGGGCUCUACUUUAAUUGGCCGUCCCCUCCAUGAGUGCAUAGCUAUGUUAGAGAACUUGGGGACCCUCGUGGGAGCGGGGGGAAAAGAGAAGGCAAAGAAGGAUGUGGUGGGGGUAAAGACAAGGACAUACAUCCCUAGAGGAAUAAUUUGGAGAUAUUUAAUAAAUCAGGGAGUGAAUGAAGGAGAGCUAGAUAGUCAGCCCACGGGAGUUUUACUUGCCAAAAUGAAAAAAAUCCUUCAGGAAAAGGGGAUGAAACAAGAGGAGAUUUGGGAAAAACUGAAGCAAACAAAACCAUCACCUCCUCCUUCUAUCCCAAAGAGAAAACUAUACCCAUCGCUGAGGGACCUUAAAGAUUAGGAGUCCCAGCCCCUGGUGUCAGUGGGAUUAACCUCCACCUCACUGACUUGGUAUUCAGGGGGCAGAGACUGUGUGGAGGUGCGGUGUCUGUUGAAGGGGGAGUGGGAGCUUACGAACACUUUCUUAGUUGAUACAGGAUCAGAAGCAGCAUUAGUAGAUUACUGGGGUCCCCCACUCCUGGGUAAAUCAAGCUGGAUGUUGGGAGUAGGAGGGGGGGAAAAUGAGGGGGGGGAGAAGUAGAAGUCCAGGUGUGCAUAAGGGAAGAUAAACUGGAUGGGCAGAUAAUCCUGGUAAAAGUGGGGGGGCAAGCACUUUAGGAAGGAAUUUCCUGUCUUAGUUCAUGGACAUCUGUCCAAGAGAAAACUUACUGUACUGCUGCUUCAGAAGAUGAAAAGGUGUCGUGAGUCGUGAAGUACUGGGAUGGAAGUGAAAACAAAAUUAGAGGCGAUAUGUAAAGUUGUAAAGAGCUGGAGACCCGCUCUUCCAUUCCCAGUACUGCUACAGUGCAGAAGCUCAGAACAGUUAUGAGGAGGGUCAGGAGGCACAACAAAGGUGUAAGAGAAUAUGAUUUUAAAUCCCUAUUUUCACGAUUCCUGUAGAAAUCCAGAGAUGUGGGUUAUGUGGACAGUGGAACAGCCUUGCACUGAAUUGUAAGUUUGUGUUGGGUUAUGUCUUUUACCCCUGGGAAAGGGGAACGUUUGAACAGUGUCAAAUUGAUUGUGUGGGCCCCUUAGAGAGAUCAAGAAGGGGGUUGGAUGAGUUUGUGUUUGUUGCCGUUGAUGCAACAAGAGGGGUAGAGGCCAUGGCAGUCUGUGCAGCUACUGCAAUGGUUUGGUGUUUGCGUGAAAUAUUGAACAGAUUUUGGUCCUCCAUUCUUAAUUAAUUCAGAAGCCCCUUGAUGUAUGCACCAGUACAGAAGUUACUUAAAGGGAUGGGGCUGUGUCAGUUAAAUCUUAUUUCCUGCCAUCUGCAGUCCUUCAGGAUGGUGGGAAAAGCUGAUAGCUCCAUCGAGGUGAGACUGAAGCUAACGGAGGAGGGCUGAGGUGGGACGAAGCACUAGUUUGUGUGUUGGGCUGUGCGAGCAAAGAAGACACGAGGUACCAGUGAUCACCCUUGUGAGCUGGUAUAUGGCUGUGGCCCAGAAAUGGAAAAAAUGGACAGUAAAUGGGCUAAACAAUUGUGUGCCUCAAACACCAACUCGAUCUUGGAACAGUCAGCUCAGCAGAGAGCAUGGGCUCAAGCAGCUCUCUGGAGUUACGCAGCUCAUGAACAGCAUACCAAUAUAAAAGAACAUUACAAUAAACCCCACUGGGACAUGUGGUCCAAUGCACACCCAUGUACCAAGGGGAAGGCCUAGAGAAAAUUCAGGGGUAAUUGUGGCUCUGUUCUGGGGAAACACAGUACUAACUGGAAACAAAGAAGUUUCAUGGGUAGAGGGGACUUGCUGCCAGAAAAUCAAAGAGAAUGUUUUUAACUAACUAACAAGGGAGACUGAAUUUUUUUUCAGAGACACAAAUGUUGCUGCGGGAUUGAUCACAGGUGUGGAUCACAGACAUCCUCUGCAAGAACCAUCUUCUUCGAGACCGGAGGACUAAUGACGUCUGUCUGUGAACUGACGGUCCAGCAGGACAGCAUGCAGAAGGACGCCAAGAAACUGGAGAGCGGACAACAAACUGCAAGUUGAUGGAUCACCUUAGAGAAUAAGGAACUGUUAGAACUGGAGACUGAUAGCAAAUUGUUAACUGUACGUUAUUGGUAUGACAUUUGCACGGAUGUGUCACCAAAAGCUAAUGCUAUGCAGUGUAAUCACAUAACCCUGUACUUGCUACUAGUUAUGACAGCAUUGCCCUUUAUCCUUCUGUACAUGCUCUGCUUCUUUCAAAAGGAAGGACCGCACUGACAUGCCCAGGUGAACAUCUCACAUACGCUGCUGUCCUAACAGCCAUGGUGGUUUCCAGCCGGAAGGGAUUGAGCUUACGAGCAUCCAGAGUGGUCUGCAUGUCCUUGGAGAAGGUCAGUCAGGCCAGGGGGUGACUUGUGAGUGAGAGGUCCUGCUGGAGCACAUGGCCCCGUGCAGCCACGGCCCUGGCAGUGAGUGGCCUAGGGCAGUGCAUGGCCAAAGCGUGGAGAACAGGCACCUCUGCUGCAGCUCUCUGGUGUGUGAGCUGCCAGACAAGGUCUUGCUUGUGCUUGGUUUGAGCUCGCAGAAGGAUCAAGGCUAAAGUGGAAUAAUUGUGUCUAAUAAUUAAAUGAGGAUAAACCCAGUGGGAAAACAACAGGGCGAGGGGCGACGUGAGGAUCUGGGCUGCCUGCAGCAGUUAUCCCCAUCUGUAACACUGUAUAAGGCUGUGCUUGCCUCAGUAAUGGUGUCAGGAAAACUACAUUUAGGUAUGGCUGUAGCAAAACUGGGACCAGUGGGGAGAAAGUUAGGGGCAGCUUGUUUAUUUAGGAGGGAAUUGGGUGGGGGAGAGACAAUGCGAGGGUGACAAAAAGGUGAACCUGAAUGAUGAGGUGUAAAACCCACCAACGAUGACCAGAGGACACGUGCCGAUGGCAGGAGUGUCACCUACAGCUGGUAGUAGACCCACGCAGCAGAGGAGAUCUGGGAUCACCACUCGGGCUCUCCAUCUAUGAGAUCUACGGCUCAUAGCUUCGUGGCUCUGCAUAAUGGUCUGCGUAACUGUAACUGAGCAGUGGUGUGUCACUUGGAUUAGCCAUUAUUUUUCUGUUUUGCCAGUUUCCUUGUAGUGUGUUCAUCAAUAAACAGUUUGCCUCAGGUA